AUUGAACGCUGGCGGCAGGCUUAACACGUGCAAGUCGAGCGGAGUAUUGGUGCUUGCACCAAUACUUAGCGGCGGACGGGUGAGUAAUGCUUAGGAAUCUGCCUAUUAGUGGGGGACAACAUCUCGAAAGGGAUGCUAAUACCGCAUACGCCCUACGGGGGAAAGCAGGGGAUCUUCGGACCUUGCGCUAAUAGAUGAGCCUAAGUCGGAUUAGCUAGUUGGUGGGGUAAAGGCCUACCAAGGCGACGAUCUGUAGCGGGUCUGAGAGGAUGAUCCGCCACACUGGGACUGAGACACGGCCCAGACGCCUACGGGAGGCAGCAGUGGGGAAUAUUGGACAAUGGGGGGAACCCUGAUCCAGCCAUGCCGCGUGUGUGAAGAAGGCCUUUUGGUUGUAAAGCACUUUAAGCGAGGAGGAGGCUACUCUAGUUAAUACCUAGAGAUAGUGGACGUUACUCGCAGAAUAAGCACCGGCUAACUCUGUGCCAGCCGCCGCGGUAAUAC
rnacentral:rRNA from 1 species